rnacentral:rRNA from 1 species
GCGUGCUAUACAUGCAAGUCGAACGAACUUCCGUUAAUUGAUUAUGACGUGCUUGCACUGAAUGAGAUUUUAACACGAAGUGAGUGGCGGACGGGUGAGUAACACGUGGGUAACCUGCCCAGAAGCAGGGGAUAACACCUGGAAACAGAUGCUAAUACCGUAUAACAGAGAAAACCGCCUGGUUUUCUUUUAAAAGAUGGCUCUGCUAUCACUUCUGGAUGGACCCGCGGCGCAUUAGCUAGUUGGUGAGGUAACGGCUCACCAAGGCGAUGAUGCGUAGCCGACCUGAGAGGGUAAUCGGCCACAUUGGGACUGAGACACGGCCCAGACUCCUACGGGAGGCAGCAGUAGGGAAUCUUCCACAAUGGACGCAAGUCUGAUGGAGCAACGCCGCGUGAGUGAAGAAGGGUUUCGGCUCGUAAAGCUCUGUUGUUAAAGAAGAACGUGGGUGAGAGUAACUGUUCACCCAGUGACGGUAUUUAACCAGAAAGCCACGGCUAACUACGUGCCAGCAGCCGCGGUAAUACGUAGGUGGCAAGCGUUAUCCGGAUUUAUUGGGCGUAAAGCGAGCGCAGGCGGUCUUUUAAGUCUAAUGUGAAAGCCUUCGGCUCAACCGAAGAAGUGCAUUGGAAACUGGGAGACUUGAGUGCAGAAGAGGACAGUGGAACUCCAUGUGUAGCGGUGAAAUGCGUAGAUAUAUGGAAGAACACCAGUGGCGAAGGCGGCUGUCUGGUCUGUAACUGACGCUGAGGCUCGAAAGCAUGGGUAGCGAACAGGAUUAGAUACCCUGGUAGUCCAUGCCGUAAACGAUGAUUACUAAGUGUUGGAGG